CGCAGGGUCCCCCCGCCGCCCCGCCCCGCUCCGCCCCGCGCGGGGAUCCCGCCUCCCGCCCGCGCCGCGCCAGCAGGAAAUUGUGUAACAUUUCUGAGUACAACUUCUGGUCCUGAAGAACAAUUCAUACUUUGACUGAGAGAAUGACAGUGUCCACUACUGGAAAACUUCUCUCAGAUCUCAGGUACUUCCUGUGGCAUCACUAGUCCAUGAACAGACUAUGAAGUACUUCAGUUCUCUGGCACUGCAGCGUGGAGACUGUCCCGUCCACACAUCCAACCUGGCAGCGUGUGGUUACAUUGCCCCUUUACAAGAAACCAAGGAACAAGUUCAAGGAGAAAUGUGCACUAUGUUGCGAAGCGGCAACAUGUCUGGUGCGUGAGAAAUGACAGAAGCAGCUAAAGCAGCAACAGCUGCCCUGGGAGGAACAAAGAAAAGGGUCACUGUUGUAAGCCAGAGAACAUGUCUGCACGGGUUUCCUGCCCAGUCAGAGCCAAGGUUUGAUGGUACCUUCCAACACAAAUGCACAAGCACCCACAGUGUCUCCGGGGAGGGGAAAUGGAGGGAGAUGCUAGAUGGCAAAUCCAACAAAGAGAAACCACUGCAAAAGCUACCCAAGCUUUCACCAGCCAACAGACAAACUCUGCUUGUGAGUUGUUUCUCUUUCCCCACUUUUUUGGGGGAUUCGGAUAUUUAGAUUGCUUAUUUUUCAGAGACAGCAUAACAAGCCCUCACUCUUAGUUGCUUACAGACAUGUCUAACAUCAAUGAGAAGAGUAACAAUGAACUGUAGUGCUAAAUAACUCUGCUGGGUGAAAGCUAGUGAAGAUUAUAUAGAAGAAGUCACUAAUGCUACUUCAAGCAUGAGAGGCUGAAAUGACAGUAAUCUAAACAGAAGGAAUAACAGCUAGAGUACAAGCAGGAAUUCCAACGAUGAGAUGAAAUUUGAACGCACCCUUUAGAAGGACCUCAGAGACCUGUCCAAGCCUGAUGAGUCUGUGUUUGCCACAUACACAGCACUGCUGUCACAACAGCUAUUCCAGAGAUGCUCUAGAGCAAAUGGAGCUCCUGCUGCAAGCUGGGCAUUGAAAGGAACGGCUUCAAGAGGAGUGAACAAGAACAGUUCUACCAGAGAGUAUGUUGUAACGUAGGAGGUAAAACAACAUGGUAGGACAUGUGGGGUGAAAUCACUUCAUGGGUGAAAGAAAGAGUCUCCAUGCUGAGCUGCUCAAUGAAAGAAGGCCACCAGCUUCUUUUCUGGUCGUUUUUGAAGAGACUGAGGCAAGAAGCACCCACAAAGGCUUAAGUAAAGGAGGACCCACACAGCCGAACACUGUCUGCACAGAUGUCUGGUGACUGAAGAAUGCUAAAAGCCUCAGUGCCUGCAGGCUGAGAGGAAACUGAGCAGAGAGCUUCUGAAUAUCUAAAUUUUGGGCUUACACACUUCUAAUGAAAGCUAAGCACAUAAAUCUUUUUUUAAACAUAACUCUCCUUGUGAAAAAAGGCAUCACUAUAGGAUGUCAUGAGGUUCUCUGGAGAUUUUAGGGUUUGUUUCUGGUCUGUGGUACAAAAUUUAAGCCAGAGAAAAUGCCGCAGAGAAAAGUGGAAUGUGCUAGUCUAAAAAGUGUUAAAUGAGACCAAAAUUUGUCCCAUGACCAGAGAUGUUUGUAAAGACUGGAUGUUGUUUGACGCAUUAUGUAACACAUUGCAGCAAAACAUUCCACUGCUUCCAGGACUCUGAACAGUAACAAAAAUAAAGCUAUUUUUAAAAGAGAUGAAGC